AAUUAUGAAACAAUAAAUUGUAUUCAAUUACGGGUUGAAAUUUAAGUUUAAUAAACUCUUAAUUU
rnacentral:tRNA from 1 species